rnacentral:rRNA from 1 species
AGUCGAGCGGACAGAUGGGAGCUUGCUCCCUGAUGUUAGCGGCGGACGGGUGAGUAACACGUGGGUAACCUGCCUGUAAGACUGGGAUAACUCCGGGAAACCGGGGCUAAUACCGGAUGCUUGUUUGAACCGCAUGGUUCAAACAUAAAAGGUGGCUUCGGCUACCACUUACAGAUGGACCCGCGGCGCAUUAGCUAGUUGGUGAGGUAAUGGCUCACCAAGGCAACGAUGCGUAGCCGACCUGAGAGGGUGAUCGGCCACACUGGGACUGAGACACGGCCCAGACUCCUACGGGAGGCAGCAGUAGGGAAUCUUCCGCAAUGGACGAAAGUCUGACGGAGCAACGCCGCGUGAGUGAUGAAGGUUUUCGGAUCGUAAAGCUCUGUUGUUAGGGAAGAACAAGUACCGUUCGAAUAGGGCGGUACCUUGACGGUACCUAACCAGAAAGCCACGGCUAACUACGUGCCAGCAGCCGCGGUAAUACGUAGGUGGCAAGCGUUGUCCGGAAUUAUUGGGCGUAAAGGGCUCGCAGGCGGUUUCUUAAGUCUGAUGUGAAAGCCCCCGGCUCAACCGGGGAGGGUCAUUGGAAACUGGGGAACUUGAGUGCAGAAGAGGAGAGUGGAAUUCCACGUGUAGCGGUGAAAUGCGUAGAGAUGUGGAGGAACACCAGUGGCGAAGGCGACUCUCUGGUCUGUAACUGACGCUGAGGAGCGAAAGCGUGGGGAGCGAACAGGAUUAGAUACCCUGGUAGUCCACGCCGUAAACGAUGAGUGCUAAGUGUUAGGGGGUUUCCGCCUCUUAGUGCUGCAGCUAACGCAUUAAGCACUCCGCCUGGGGAGUACGGUCGCAAGACUGAAACUCAAAGGAAUUGACGGGGGCCCGCACAAGCGGUGAGCAUGUGUUUA